rnacentral:rRNA from 1 species
UUACCCAAUCCUGACAUAGGGAGGUAGUGACAAGAAAUACCAAUACGGGGCAUCCAUGUCUCGUAAUUGGAAUGAGUAAACUUUAAAUCACUUUACGAGUAUCAAUUGGAGGGCAAGUCUGGUGCCAGCAGCCGCGGUAAUUCCAGCUCCAAUAGCGUAUAUUAAAGUUGUUGCGGUUAAAAAGCUCGUAGUUGGAUUUCUGUUGGGAACGACCGGUCCGCCCAUUGGGUGUGCAUCUGGCUUGUUCUCGGCAUCUUCUUGGUGAACGUUGCUGCACUUGACUGUGUGGAGCGCUACCCAGGACUUUUACUUUGAGGAAAUUAGAGUGUUUCAAGCAGGCAUAUGCCUUGAAUACAUUAGCAUGGAAUAAUAAGAUAGGACCUCGGUUCUAUUUCGUUGGUUUCUAGAGCUGAGGUAAUGAUUAAUAGGGAUAGUUGGGGGCAUUCGUAUUUAACUGUCAGAGGUGAAAUUCUUGGAUUCGUUAAAGACGGACCACUGCGAAAGCAUUUGCCAAGGAUGUUUUCAUUGAUCAAGAACGAAAGUUAGGGGAUCGAAGACGAUCAGAUACCGUCCUAGUCUUAACCAUAAACCAUGCCGACUAGAGAUUGGAGGUCGUUAUCUUUACGACUCCUUCAGCACCUUAUGAGAAAUCAAAGUCUUUGGGUUCCGGGGGGAGUAUGGUCGCAAGGCUGAAACUUAAAGGAAUUGACGGAAGGGCACCACCAGGAGUGGAGCCUGCGGCUUAAUUUGACUCAACACGGGGAAACUCACCAGGUCCGGACAUAGUAAGGAUUGACAGAU